rnacentral:rRNA from 1 species
AACGAACGCUGGCGGCAGGCCUAACACAUGCAAGUCGAGCGGACCCUUCGGGGUUAGCGGCGGACGGGUGAGUAACGCGUGGGAAUAUGCCCUUCUCUACGGAAUAGUCCUGGGAAACUGGGGGUAAUACCGUAUACGCCCUUUGGGGGAAAGAUUUAUCGGGGAAGGAUUAGCCCGCGUUGGAUUAGGUAGUUGGUGGGGUAAUGGCCUACCAAGCCGACGAUCCAUAGCUGGUUUGAGAGGAUGAUCAGCCACACUGGGACUGAGACACGGCCCAGACUCCUACGGGAGGCAGCAGUGGGGAAUCUUAGACAAUGGGGGCAACCCUGAUCCAGCCAUGCCGCGUGAGUGAUGAAGGCCUUAGGGUUGUAAAGCUCUUUCAGCUGGGAAGAUAAUGACGGUACCAGCAGAAGAAGCCCCGGCUAACUCCGUG